rnacentral:rRNA from 1 species
GGACUACUGGGGUAUCUAAUCCUGUUUGCUCCCCAUGCUUUCGCGCCUCAGCGUCAGUAUCAGCCCAGUAAACCGUCUUCACCACCGGUGUUCUUCCACAUAUCUACGCAUUUCACCGCUACACGUGGAAUUCCGUUUACCCUAACUGAACUCUAGUUGAAUAGUUUCAAAUGCAGCUCCGGGGUUGAGCCCCGGAAUUUCACAUCUGACUUAUUCUACCGCCUACGCGCCCUUUACGCCCAGUAAUUCCGAUCAAUGCUUGCACCCUCCGUAUUACCGCGGCUGCUGGCAC